GAUGAACGCUAGCGACAGGCCUAACACAUGCAAGUCGAGGGGCAGCACGGUGUAGCAAUACACGGGUGGCGACCGGCGCACGGGUGAGUAACGCGUAUGCAACCUGCCUACUACAAGGGGAUAACCCGUUGAAAGACGGACUAAUACCCUAUAACACAGGGAAUCCGCAUGGAUAUAUUUGUUAAAGAUUUAUCGGUAGUAGAUGGGCAUGCGUUCCAUUAGCUUGUUGGUGAGGUAACGGCUCACCAAGGCAACGAUGGAUAGGGGAACUGAGAGGUUGAUCCCCCACACCGGAACUGAGACACGGUCCAGACUCCUACGGGAGGCAGCAGUGAGGAAUAUUGGUCAAUGGACGAGAGUCUGAACCAGCCAAGUCGCGUGAAGGAAGACGGCCCUACGGGUUGUAAACUUCUUUUGUAAGGGAAUAAAGAGUCUUACGCGCUAAGACGUUGCAGGUACCUUACGAAUAAGGAUCGGCUAACUCCGUGCCAGCAGCCGCGGUAAUACGGAGGAUCCGAGCGUUAUCCGGAUUUAUUGGGUUUAAAGGGUGCGCAGGCGGCAUGUUAAGUCGGCGGUGAAAUUUUGCAGCUCAACUGUAAAAGAGCCUUCGAAACUGGCAAGCUUGAGUGUGGAUGAAGUAGGCGGAAUUUGUGGUGUAGCGGUGAAAUGCAUAGAUAUCACAAAGAACACCGAUUGCGCAGGCAGCUUACUAAACCAUAACUGACGCUCAUGCACGAAGGCGUGGGGAUCAAACAGGAUUAGAUACCUGGUAGUCCACGCAGUAAACGAUGAUUACUGGCUGUUUGCGAUACAAUGUAAGCGGCUGAGCGAAAGCGUUAAGUAAUCCACCUGGGGAGUACGUUCGCAAGAAUGAAACUCAAAGGAAUUGACGGGGGCCCGCACAAGCGGAGGAACGUGUGGUUUAAUUCGAUGAUACGCGAGGAACCUUACCCGGGCUUGAAAUGCAUCUGACCGGCCUUGAAAGAGGCUUUCCCUUCGGGGCAGAUGUGUAGGUGCUGCAUGGUUGUCGUCAGCUCGUGCCGUGAGGUGUCGGCUUAAGUCCCGCAACGAGCGCAACCCCUGUUGCCAGUUACAAGUGUCUGGCGAGACUGCCGGUAUCAAGCCGGAGGAAGGUGGGGAUGACGUCAAGUCAGCAUGACCUUUAUAUCUGGGGCUACACACACGCUACAAUGGUCAGUACAAUGCGUUGCCAAGCCGCGAGGCGGAGCUAAUCGCAGCAAAACCGGCCUCAGUUCGGAUAGGAGGCUGCAACCCGCCUCCUUGAAGUCGGAGUUGCUAGUAAACGCCGGUCAGCUAUACGGCGUUGAAUACGUUCCCGGGUCUUGUACACACCGCCCGUCACACCAUGGGAGUCGGAUAUGCCCGAAGUCAGUGACCCAACCGCAAGGAGGGAGCUGCCGAAGGUGGAGCCGAUGACUGGGGUG
rnacentral:rRNA from 1 species